CCUACGGGUGGCAGCAGUGAGGAAUAUUGGUCAAUGGGCGAGAGUCUGAACCAGCCAAGUAGCGUGAAGGAUGACUGCCCUAUGGGUUGUAAACUUCUUUUAUAUGGGAAUAAAAUGUUCCACGUUGGGGAUUUUGUAUGUACCAUAUGAAUAAGGAUCGGCUAACUCCGUGCCAGCAGCCGCGGUAAUACGGAGGAUCCGAGCGUUAUCCGGAUUGAUUGGGUUUAAAGGGAGCGUAGGUGGAUUGUUAAGUCAGUUGUGAAAGUUUGCGGCUCAACCGGAAAAUUGCAGUUGAAACUGGCAGGCUUGAGUACAGUAGAGGUGGGCGGAAUUCGUGGUGUAGCGGUGAAAUGCUUAGAUAUCACGAAGAACUCCGAUUGCGAAGGCAGCUCACUGGACUGCAACUGACACUGAGGCUCGAAAGUGUGGGUAUCAAACAGGAUUAGAUACCCCAGUAGUC
rnacentral:rRNA from 1 species